CCAGCCCCUGCACAGCCCUCAGCAGAGGAUUCGGACACAGAGGACGACUCUGAAGCCGAACAAACUGAAAGGAACAUUCACCCCACUGCAAUGAUGUUUACCAGGCUGGAGUUCAUGCUGAGAUCAUGCAGAGUGAAGCCACCAAGACUUUAUGCGGACUGCUGCAAAUGUUAGUGGAAAGCGGAAUGACGGACAAGACAUCUUCUCCAAACAGGCUGGUGUACAGGGAGCAACACCGGAGCUGGUGCACGCUGGGGUUUGUGCAGAGCAUCGCUCUCACGCUGCAGGUGUGCGGCGCCCUCAGCUCCCUGCAGUGGAUCACGCUGCUCAUGAAGGUCGUGGAAGGGCACGCACCCUUCACUGCCACCUCGCUGCAGAGGCAGAGUCCAUGCUGAGGUGGCGCAGGGUGUGCCCGCAGGCCUCGCUGACUGCCACCCACAGCAGCACACUGGUGGAGGAGGUGGUGGCACUGCUGCACACGCUGCACUCCCUGACUCAGUGGAAUGGGCUCAUCAACAAGUACAUCAACUCCCAGCUCCGCUCCAUCACCCACAGCUUUGCGGGAAGGCCUUCCGAAGGGGUGCCCAGUUAGAGGACUACUUCCCCGACUCCGAGAACCCUGAAGUGGGGGGCCUCAUGGCGGUCCUGGCUGUGGUUGGAGGCAUCGAUGGUCGCCUGCGCCUGGGUGGCCAAGUUGUGCACGAUGACUUUGGAGAAGUCACCAUGACUCGCAUCACCCUGAAGGGCAAAAUCACCGUGUUUGCCUUCCAGGAAGCUGUGUGAGCUUGUGCUUCUGUGGUAAGCAGGGCCUGUCGAAUAUAUACAUGUUGUAGAAAACUUGAAGUAUAUAGAAAAUAUCUGAGAACUCCCUGCCGUGGCCUUUAAUGUGAACAACGACAAGUGGACCUGGACCUGCUGCGGUGCCAGCAGUUGAAGCUAUACAUCCUAGGUCGGGCGCUGUUCUCCCACCAGGAUAAACUGCGGCAGAUCCUGUCUCAGCCAGCUGUUCAGGAGACUGGAAGUGUUCACACAGAUGAUGGAGCAGUGGUAUCACCUGACCUUGGGGACAUGUCUCCUGAAGGGCCGCAGCCCCCC
rnacentral:lncRNA from 1 species